UUUUUUUUUAAUUUUUUUUUUUAACGUUUAUUUAUUUUUGAGACAGAGACAGAGCAUGAAUGGGGGAGGGUCAGAGAGAGAGGGAGACACAGAAUCGGUAGCAGGCUCCAGGCUCUGAGCUGUCAGCACAGAGCCCGACGCGGGGCUCGAACUCACGGACCGUGAGAUCAUGACCUGAGCCGAAGUCGGAUGCUUAACCGACCAAGCCACCCAGGCGCCCCAGUCCUCCUUAUAAUUUGAUCCUUUGAUCCUUGCCCCCUUGGUGCCAUGGCCCAAGUUGAUCUCACUCUACCAUAAAGAAUCCACUCUUAUUUGAAGGUAGUUGUGGCUCUCUUUUCCCCAGGAAAGUGAAAGAUAUUUUGACUUCUCCAAGCCAAACAGCUCUUCAUAAUACAGUUCAUUACUCGUGUGUUGUUAGGGAAACCGCUUACCUACCUCACAGGGCUGUUGUGAAGACUGAAUAAGAAAAUGUAUGUGAAGAUGCUUAGCACAGUGUCUGGCAUUUAGAAAGUGCUCAAUAAAUGUUUGUUGUUGUUAACAAAGAAACAUGGUUUGCACUGUGUUUUAGAAUCAUGGGAUUUAUUUUGGUCAAACAGCCCUGUAGGGAGAAAGCAAAGACAAAAGGUUUUGGUGCUCUCUAAAAAGCAAGUGAACUGAUGCCGCUCACAAAGUGACAGAGUUACAUCCAAAAGUUAAUGAGGUCUGGUGUGCCUGGGUGGCUCAGUUGGUUAAGCGUCCAGCUUUGGCUCAGGUCAUGAUCUCACAGUUCAUGAGUUUGAACCCCAUGUUGGGCUCUAUGCUGACAGCUCAGAGCCUGGAGCCUCCUUCAGAUUCAGUGUCUCCCUCUUUCUCUGCCCCUCUUCUGCUCGUGCUCUGUCUCUCUCUCAAAAGUAAAUUUAAAAAAAAAUUUUUUUUUAAAGAAGUUAAUGAGGUCAAAGGUGGUGAAUUAUAUACUCAGGUGCUGUGAUGAUUAUUACAACCCAGGUGAAUAAACCCAAUUUCUUAAACAUUCUAACAUGCAAUUUUCUAUAAGAGAUAGUAAGAUUUAGUGUCUCACGACAAACAUGAAAAACAGACUUUGUGGUAAUUCUAUGUUUGAGGUUAAGUAUUACAUUCUCUUAGUAUAUCUCCAUUUAAAAAGCAAAUUAUUGGGGCACCUGGGUGGGUCUGUCAGUUAAGCAUUUGACUUCGGCUUAGGUCAUGAUCUUGCAGUUUAUGAGUUCGAGCCCUGCGUUGGGCUCUGUGCUGAUAGCUAGAGCCUGGAGCCUGCUUCGAUUUUGUGUGUGUGUGUCUCUCUCUCUGCCCCUCCUCUGCUCACACUCUGUCUCUCCUUCAAAAAUAAACGUUAAAAAAAUUUUUUUAAGCUAAUUAUCACAGCAAUCAGACCUGUCAGAAACUCAGUUUCAAGAAAAUGAAAUACAGAACAGGUUAAUAUCUGACUUAAGACUGUCCUAUGCUGCUGCUGCUGCUGCUGCUGUGUGUGUGUGUGUGUGUGUAUAAGUUGACAACUUACUUGUAAAUGUUCUUUAAUUUUCUGUCUCAUCUUAACAGUGACGACUACCUCUGACCUUUGUAUUCUCAAAGGCACUUGUGUUAUUGAUAAAUAAAGUUCCUUCACUGCCAAGGCUUCUAGUUAAAUCUUACUUGUGACAUGAUUUUUAACUAUAGUUUUAAGGAAGACUGAGUCAAAGUAUUGGGAGUUUCCCAUCUUCUAUUUUGAUAUUGCUGUUACUACUCUCAUCAGCAUCUUCAUUGCCAUUGGUUCAUCACUCCAAACCCUCUCUGGCCUCAAUCCUUAAGGCUAUUGUAAAAUCAAGUUCCUCCAUCCCAACUCCCAGAUACCGGUAUGGACCAGCUCUGAAUGCCAGCUUGUAACCCUAGCGCAGCAGCUGAGUACAGCUGGAGAAAAAUGACACCAAGAGGCUCUCACAGUGCCUGUCAAUCAACAGCCCCCAUCUGCUAGUCCCAAGUUUCUACUGCCCUCCUCAAACAUUGUGUGAUACCACUUAGUAAAUGUAGGAGGCAUUCACUGAGAAUAGUAAGGCAAUCAGAAGCAGGAAGGGGAUCCUCCAACUUCCAUAUUACCAAUAAACAUAAUUGCAUCUGCAUGCAUGGAAAAAGUGUUUACCCUGCUAUUCACAGCUCCGCCUACAUCUGUGCUUUGGUACCAUCCUCUUGCGAUCCCAGGAUCCUGCUCUGUCACCCCCUCUCCUACAUAUAACUUCUUUACUGGCUUUUGCUUGCAAACAUCCUUUAGUCUGUCAUCUUAAGGAAAAACUUCUCCCUUAGCCCCUAUUAUGUUCUAGCCCUUGCCUUCCCAUUUUCUUCUCUCAUCCAAGCUUCUGGAAAGAAGCCACUGCCCUUGUUCAUACCACUUUCAUUCCUAGUCUCUUAACCCAGCGCGGACUAGCUCCUACUUAUGUCAUGGUUCCAAUGAAAUUAUUCUCAUAUAUUGUCAACAUAUCUACCCAUGUUGGGAACUGUUUUAAAUGCUGGGCCAGUAAUGACUCUAGGCACUAUUCUAGACACCAACAACUUUCCAUCUCAAUGAGUGUUACCAUCAUUCACUCAGCUACCCAGUCCAGAAAUCAAAGAUUCAUCUUAACAUGCUUCCCAUUUGCUUGCCAUGAUCCCCAGUCCCUACAAAUUCUACCUGCUUAACAUUUGUAACCCCCAUCUCCUCACCCUUGAUUCUCAUGGCUGCUGCUUUAGAUCAGGCCCUUACCACUUCCUAUUUGGAUUGCUGCUGUAGCUUUUUAUUUGCAGAAGGCCACCGUCCAGACCAUCUUCCACAGGAAUGUCUUUAAAAUUCAAAUCUGAUUACGUUAUGCCAUGACCUGCAAUGAUUUUCAUAGCUUUCAUGAUAAACAAACUCUUUACCUUAAUACCUAAGUCCUUUAAUGAUCUUUUGUUUGUUUGUUUGUUUCAUCACCUACCAUUUGUUCAAGUCAUCCUAAUGGUAACAUUUAUUGAGCUGCUUUUUAUGUGCCAGGCACUGCUAGAUGCUUUUCCUCUCAUUUAAACCUCACAAGAACUCAGGGUUUUGCCUGGUGUACAUAUGAGGAAACUGAAGCAGAUAGUUUAGGAAACUUGCCUGAAGCAAGUGGCAGAACCAGGCUUGAACUCCGAUGUGUGUGUCCCUCAAUUCCAAACCCUUAGGCAACAUACAGCAUGCUUCAAAGUGUAGACUGGGAGCACCUGCAUCAAAUCUAGAUUACUUAUUAAAAUGCAGAUUCCUGUGCUCUGUACUGGACCUAAUGAGGUGGGACUUCUUGGGGGUAAGUUCCCAAGCUCUCCAUUUUAAAUAAGCUCUCCAAGUGAGGUACAAAGCACAGUACUACUGUCCUGUCCUGUGUAUUUUUAGCCACAGGAAAUUAUUCCUGGGCACCUGGGUGGCUCAGUCGGUUAAGCAUCCAACUCUUGGUUUCUGCUCAGGUCAUGAUCUCACAGUUUUGUGAGUUCAAGCCCCGCAUCCGUCGCUGUGCUAACACCUCAGGGCCUGGGGCCUGCUUCAGAUUCUGUGUCUUUGUCUCUCUCUGCCCCUCCCCGGCUCAUGCUCUCUCACGUGCAUGUGCAUGUUCUUUUUCUCUCUCUCUCUCAAAAAUAAACAUUAAAAAUGUUUUGGGGGCACCUGGGUGACUAGUCGGUUGAGCAUCUGACUCAUGGUUUGUGAGCCCGAUCCCCAUAUCAGGCUUCAUGCUGAUAGCUCAGAGCCUGCUUGGGAUUCUCUCUCCCUGUCUCUAUGCCCCUCCCCUGCUUGCUCUGUCUCUCUCUCUCUCUCUCAAAGUAAAUAAAUAAACACACACAAAAAAUUUUAAUUAAAAAUUAUUUCAAAAAAUAAAUUGAAUGAGUCAAGCCAUGGUGAAUCAAGUUGUUUUAAUGAGUUCAAUACUCUUUACAAACUUAAUCAAAUUUAUACAAACUCAUGUGGCUUUCAGUGGAAAAAAGCAUCAGUCUGUAAUCAAUUAUAUAUUUUAAAUUGAAAUCACAAGGCAAAAGUGACAAGUUCUCAAAUAUGCCAGAUUCUCUUAAAUAUUACAGACUUGAAAUCACAAACACAUCAGAUUGUCCUGAAGAUAAUGUAUUUUCCCAUGCUUCUACAUAAUCAUUUCAACUGUUUAUCUUUUGUGGUUGUAUGAUGAAAAAAUUUGCAUUUUUUCCAUCAACUUUAAGUGAACUCCUAAGAAGUCUUCUUAGAAAAAAUCUAAAUAGAAAAAAUAAAAAUAAAUGACAAUGAAAUGCAGAUAAAAGCAAAAUAUCAUUUUAAAUAUAGGAUUGGUAAUAACCCAGAGAAACAGAGAGUCUUACUAUUAGGAGUAUAAAUUGUUGUAAACUUUUUGUAGGAACAUUUGGCAUUUGGGCCCAAAUUUUAAAUUAUUUUUUUUCUUUAACAGAACAAUUCCACUUCUAAGAAUUAAUCCUACAAAAAUAUCUCCCUCCCAAUUUAUGAUGUAUAUAUAAUGAUGCUCAUGGCAGCAUUGUUUGUAAUAAUGAAGCAUUGUAAAAAACCUGAACACCCACUAAGAGUACACUGGUUAAAUAAUUGUGGCAUAUCCUGUAUAUAACAACGUUGAAAGGUGUCACACAUUCAACAUCUAGAAUGGUUCCUGGCACAUAGCGGGCCGUCAAUAAAUAUGAACAAAUUAAUAGAUAAAGGGUCAAAAGUAACUUGCUAUACUCUUUAUUUUGUUCAUUCAUUCAUUCAGCAAGUAUUCUUUGGGAAUAUGAUACUGAGCAUAAGCAGACCCAGACAAUUUCCCUCACAAAAUACACAGUCUAUUAGAAAAGAUAGUCAUUAAUUUUUACAAACUUCAAAUAAGGAUAAAGCUGAUAUAAAUGAAGAAGAAAAAGGACUGUGCUAUGAGGUUCUAUACUUGGAUGGUCUGACCUGGUGUAGGAGAUCUAAUGUAAAUAAAUGUAUUUGCAUAUUAUAUACAUAUGUUAGUAAAUACAGUGGUUAUUAUGGUUGUGAUGGGAUCAGAUGUGACUUACACUCCCUACAUAAGACAGGUCUGUAUUCUUUGGAAUUUUCUCACAAUAGCAUGUAUUGCCUUUGUAAUCAGAGUUCUAAAUGUAUAUAUCUUAAAUCUAAAUAAAUAGUUUUCAUACCAUGUUCGUGUUUCUCAAACUGUUUGGGGAAGAAGAGUGAAUUUACUUGCUUGAGAGGAAAAACAAAGUGGUAGAACCCGAGCUGUUACGGUAGGCAGAAUUCUAAGAUCCAAGGAUUCCCACUCCCCAGUUGCACACACCUCCCAGUUAUUCAAUCCAACACAAAUCUAGGCAUUGCUGUCAAGGGAUUUUCCAGAUGUAAUUAAAGUUCGUCAUCAGUUGACUUUAAAUUAGGAAGAUCAUGGUAGGUGGGCUGGACCUAAUCAGAUGAGCCCUUAAAACAAGUCAAAGACAUUAAAGCAGAAGAGACUCCUGCUCAUCUCGAAGUAGCAACUAACCAUGUGUGAACUGUCCAUGGCGAGAACUCGAAGGUGGCCUCUAGGAGCCGGGAGUCCCACCAACAAAAAGAAAAUGGGGACGUUAGACCUACAACCACAAGAAACUGAGAACUGCCAACAACCAAUGAUCUUAGAAGACCCAACCCUCAGACGACAUCACAGCCGUGGCCAACACCUUGAUUUCACCCUGAUGAGACUAACCCAUACCUGGACUGCUGACCCACAGGAACUGUGAAAUAAUAAAUUUGUGUUGUUUUAAGUUGCUAA